UACGUAGGGGGCAAGCGUUGUCCGGAAUCACUGGGCGUAAAGCGCGCGUAGGCGGCUUGACAAGUCGAGUGUGAAAUCCCCGGGCUUAACCUGGGAGCUGCAUUCGAAACUGUCUUGCUAGAGUAUGGGAGAGGGAGGUGGAAUUUCAGGUGUAGCGGUGAAAUGCGUAGAUAUCUGAAGGAACAUCAGUGGCGAAAGCGACCUCCUGGACCAAUACUGACGCUCAGGUGCGGAAAGCGUGGGGAGCAAACAGG
rnacentral:rRNA from 1 species